GUUUAUUCGAGUAAAGAUUCAAUUUGUUUAUAAGGUGCGAUUAGUGGAACUAAGCAACUCUCUUUAUGUCGAUAAGUCGUGUACAACUUUUAUAUACUUAUGCAUAUUACUAUAUGUUAUUGACAUUAAAAAUAAUGGUCAUAUAAUGUACUGUUAAUUUUUUAUUAAUUUCACUUAUAGUCAUCUAUCAAAGUUAGAAUUACAUAAAUUAGAAUAAUCCAAAAAGACAUAUU